CCCGGUACCAAGUAUAUUUGUGGUUAUAUUCAGAAGCAAGGAUCCAUCCUCCAUUGGCAUCAUUUACGGCUUCCUUUCAGUGACGUUCGCACGGCUCUCGCAUCUCUGGUGCAAGCUGAAAUUUUAGUUUCAAAUACCACAAGAAACAAGUCCCAAAUCCCCCGGAAAGCGGGCACGAGCUCUUCAUCAUCUCUUCUUUCGAAUGCAUCCUCGCGUGUUUUUGUCGGAGAAUAUACAUUGGACAUUGAGUAUCGCUAGCAUGCACAUGGAACGCAAAGUAGUUGCAUUUUCAAAACUAAGGAACGGUUGGAAUAGGAGAACCCACGAGAUUUCGAGUACCUAGCAGGCGUUCACUGUUUAGAAGUCUUAGCCUUUUGCUUCCGCUGUGCAAUGAAGAUACCGGUCCAGUCACGCCAGCUCUGAUAUUUCAGGGU